rnacentral:tRNA from 1 species
AACGAUGUAUUUUAUGAAGAAUUCUGGGUUUGCGUCUCAGCGGAGGAAGUUUCUUCCCAUCGUUA